GUUUACGAAAUGGAUGUGCCAAGUACAGGGAAAUGUGACUAAAAUAUAAUUAAAGAACAAAUAUAAAUAUUUAGGUAAUAAUACCGUUGUUAUCGUUUUGUAAACUGCAAACAUAUUAAAAGUGAAUUUUAAAUCGUAUAGAAUAUCUGAUUCUGACCAAAUAUACCAACUUGAAUUAUUUAUUGGUUUUGUAGUGAAGUAUCAUCUCUGGUGCUCGCAAGUAAUGCCUACUGUGUAUUGGGGUAAAAUCAAUGCAAUUGAUUUGCAUUUAAUUGUUGUCUAUUUUUAGUGGCAGUGAUUUUGGCUGACGGAAACCAAAGCGACCGGCCAAACGACGAGGAAGAUCCCAUGGCCGCUUUUGGCCACUGAAAGUGCAGCCGACGCGAGAGCCUAGGGAGCAGCCAAGCAGCUCCAAGUCCAGUUCCUCCACACACCGCUGGGCAAGUGCUAAGCACUUGGUCGGAGCUAUUUGAUUUCACUGACCUCAAUUAUGGCUGCAACCGAGAUGGUACGAGGUUCGCAAGUAGGGAGACCCUCGGACCAGAGGCUUCUGUUGCCGCACUACCACCGGACUAUUGAAUUAUUCAUUUUGAAAAUGGUAGAAAACGUUGGUGGAAGAGAAACCCGCCAACAAAAGCCCAUAAAAUGCUAUUGCCGGGGGAGCAGCGGCCAAAUGGCAAAAGGCAAACAGUAGCGACAACUUGCCUAAUUACAGCAGAUAUUCUGGUAUGGAUGUGCGUCCUUCAAAAGUUAGUAAACUCCAUAGUCUCCUCAUCCUCUUACUCCAGAAGCACUUAGCAGCUUGUCGGGGCUUGUGAAAUGGCAUUCUGCAUGGGAUUUGCAUCACUGAGCUUGGCCAGCUUUGGUUGUCAUGGAAUUUCAUAGCCACAAUGAAAAGGAUUUCGACCAUGGAAUUGAGGUAAUUACUUAGCAGGUGCUGCUGGCAAGUGGAGGAUUACCUGGCCAAGUGGAGCUCUUGUUGCCGUAGCUAUCUUGAACUUAGUCACGUUGCCAGUGCAACAUUUCAGACAUAUAAUUGUUUAUGGUCUUUAUCUAAAAAUGAAGUAGUCACGAUUCCAUGUCGACUGUGCUAUAUAAAUCGGCCAACUAAAAUGCACCUUUAACUAACUAGCAAUGAAGCUUUUUCUACGUCUGCUUAUUUUUACGCUAAUACUGAUCCUGGCCGACGAUCAGAAGAUAAAUCGAAUUUUGUAUAUAAAAAAACGUCUAACCACCAGUUGAUAUGUAGAGUUAAGAAACAUUACUUUUAAAUAACAAUGGUUGUAAUUUUCAUUUUCCAUUUCAAAUUUAAUUUUAAUUAAAAAAUGAGAAUAAAACAAAUUAAGAUGGUUCUGAUCCGUUUGCUUGGCCAGGCAAACUUUCGGUAUACUCUGAACAUUUAUUCAAACUAUAAGUAAAGUGGGUUGUCUUACUCAUCAAA
rnacentral:sRNA from 1 species